UACGUAGGGGGCAAGCGUUGGUCCGGAUUUAUUGGGCGUAAAGCGCAGUGUGAGGCGGCCAGGUAGGUCGGUUGUGAAAAUUGGAGGCUCAACCUCCAGACGUCGAUCGAAACCAUCUGGCUAGAGUCCGGAAGAGGAGAAUGGAAUUCCUGGUGUAGCGGUGAAAUGCGCAGAUAUCAGGAGGAACACCAAUUGCGAAGGCAGCUCGCUGGGACGUUACUGACGCUGAGACGCGAAAGCGUGGGGAGCAAACAGG
rnacentral:rRNA from 1 species